rnacentral:rRNA from 1 species
UGAAGAAGGCCUUCGGGUUGUAAAGCUCUUUCGGCGGGGACAAAACGGCCACUUUUAAUAAAGGUGGUUAAUGAUGGUACCCGAAGAAGAAGCACCGGCUAACUACGUGC